rfam:Schistosoma margrebowiei strain Zambia genome assembly, scaffold: SMRZ_contig0000538
AUCCAGCUGAUGAGUCCCAAAUAGAACGAUACGCGCGUUCUGGAU